rnacentral:lncRNA from 1 species
GGAUGAUGGAUUUUCCCCUAUAGUCUCUAUCCUUCUCAACUUAAUUACAGGACUUAGUAGUUAGUUCACUUGGCACAGGACUCGAAUCUGUGACCUAAGAACAAGUCCCUCAACCUUCCUCUUUUUAACAAUCUAGGGAAUCAACGUUCCAAUCCUAAUCAUAACAUAUGCAAAACUACGUAAAUUCUUUCCAUCAACCUAAAUAUUUGGGGACAAAGCUAAUCAAUACCAUUGUUAGUCAAGGAACCUCUAAAUACCAUUGUUAAAAGAAACAAAACAAAAAGAACAUCUAGUGUCCAUCACAACAGAGAUGUAACCUCAUAAUAUCCAAAAAUACCAAAAACCGAUAAAGCCCAUAGAAGUAAUCCAUUCCGCUGAACAAAACCAGCAUAUCAUAAGUCUCUUUCUACUUUCUUUACUCAUAUUCUAUAGGUCAAUUGGCUUCAACAGGUGAAAAAAAAUCAAAAUUAUCAAACUACUACUUGAAAACAAAAUGCAAUGAAACUUAAAUAACCUUAAUGAGACACCACAAUGUUACUACUUAACAACGCAUACUAGAGCAAAUAGGUUUUUAUAUAAUGACUGGCAAUCAGCUUGUAUAGGGAAAAAAUGAAAUGUAUCCGAACUAAUACUUGAAAACAACAACAACAUACCCAGUGUAAUCACACGAUUGGGAUCUAGGGAGGGUAGUGUAUACACAGCUUACCCCUCUCCCUUGGGUAAAGGUUGUUUCCUAUAGACCCCCGGUUUGAAUAAAACAUAUCAAAUCAGUUAUCAAAAGGAAAUACAGCAGUGAAGAAGCUAAGUCAAAAAUACUGGAGAACAAAACAAUAGAAACAACAAAUAGAUAGCCGAAGCAAAGGAAAUAACAAGUAAUAAUCAAAUCGAAAAAUAAGAUAGUAUGAGAGUACGGAUAAUAAAUCUUAUAAGAAAAACUAUUAAACUCUCAACUACCUACUAAACUUCCACCCUAAUUUUCAACCUCCAAAUUAAAUAAAAUUAAACAAUCUUAAUGAGACACCAAAAUUUUACUUUUAACAAUACAUAUUAGGAACAAAUGGGUCUCUAUAUUAUCUCUUUUGAUAAUCGUAGCCAACUUUCAAGCAGCUCAACUAGUUCCACAAGAUACCUAAUACCUCACACAAGCAACAAACACCAGGUAACUCUAUCCACCAAGACUAAGACAGAUAGCAAGAAAUCACUAGUAUUUUUUGUCUAACAACUCACACAAACAACAAGCAUCAGUAAAUUUGUCCAUCAAAGAUAGAACAGAUAACAAGAAAUCAAUAAUGUUUUCGUAACAACUCACACAAGCAAUCCACCAAAGCUAGAACAGAUAACAAGAAAUCACUAGUGUCUUUGUUUAACAACUCACACAAGCAACACACCAUGUAACUCUAUCCACCAAGAAUAAAACCAAUAGCAAGAAAUCACUAGUGUUCUUGUCUAACAACUCACACAAGCAAUAAGCACCAGUUAACUCUAACCAUCAAGACUAAGACAAAUAGCAAGAAAUCACCUAGUCUUCAUUGACAAUAGGCCACAUUGUAGGCCAAAAUUUUACUUCUAACAAUCUAUCCGCAAAUGGAUCUCUAUACAAUGACCGGAAAAAGAAAAUACAAAGUUAAUUUACCGGAUUGCGGCGAUUGGAAACUUCGCGGUUGCGGAACACGACGGAAGCGAAAUCCUGCGUAGAUUUUGCAAAGGAUUUUAACUUGUCUACAACUGAAACAGCUGCUGCUUCCAUUUUUGAAAACCUAUGUAUGAAUCAGAAGAAAAAAAAAGCUUUGAGAUUGUGUAAAUGGCGUUUCAACAAUGGAAUUUCACCUUUCUCUACUCUUUCGCCAUAACUGUGCACUACAAGUAGAGAAGAUGGAAAUGAAAUUUGAUAUAUUUAUAAUGGAGUACUUAAUUUAAUUUACAUAUAUUGCUAUAUGUUUUUAAAAUUAUACAUUGAAAAAUAUAUUAUUUUUAUAAUUUUAGUGAUUUCUACGUAUAUUAUAUAUAUAUGUGUGUGUGCUGGGGGGCGGGGGGGGGUGAACGAGACAAGUAUAUACUAUGUCGUUCUUUAUUAUUAACUAGUAAAAUUAUCCGUGCUUCGCACGAGAAUUUAAUAUCACGGAAUUUAUAAAAUAAUACUUAAAAUCUAUCCGGCAUUAAAAUUAAAACACUAUAUUAUCUAAGAUAUAAGAUUAUGUAGUAACAAACAUUAAUAAUGUAAAAGGGAAAAUGAAAAAUUACUAUAUCUUAUCAUUUAGCCUUAAUAACAUAAGCAUAAAUUAUAAAUUAAUGAUUGUAAGAAUACAUACCAGUUAUGUAACAUAAGCAAUAGUUUCAGUGAACCACUCAACAUGAGUAAAGUAUACAAAUAUUUAAUUGUGAAGAAGAAAAAGAAGAAGAAGAAGAAGAAGAAGAAGAAGAAGAAGAAGAAGAGGAGGUUCAGAAUUUCCAUUGUGUUUAAAUGAGAGGAAAUCCCUCUAUUUAUAGACAACAAAGGGUAGUGUGAAUAAAUGUUUAUUGUGCCUUAUCAGAAAGGUUACAACUAUUUGGAAAAGUUGCAACCCUUCGGAAAGGUCACAACCUUUCAUAAAAGUCAUAACUUUUCACAUAAAAGUCGCAAUUUUUCAUCAAAGUAGCAACUUUUCAUAAAAAUCACAACUUUCAUGAAAGGGAAGGUUAAUUUUGUAAAUAAAUAAAUUAAAAGAGAAUUCUUGUUUGUGGUGGCGCCACGUAGGCGGGCCUAAUGCUCUCUUUUAUAUAUAUAUAUAUAUGACUAGUAAAUGGGCCCACACUUCGCGCGGUUAGAACAUUCUUCUUUAAAAUUUAUUAGAAUAGAAUUUUUUUGGUAUUUUGAUGUUAUAUUAUUUUUGUAUAACUCUAUUUUUAAGAGUAUAGAGAUUAUUCAAUUCUAGUUUACCAUUUGUUUUAUUAAAAGAAAAGGUAAAAUUACAAAUCAUAACACUAUUUUCUCUUAGUUUACAUUUCAUUUAGUGUACAUAGUGUCUUUAAUUAGAGAGUCAAAUAAAUAUUUUUCUCAAUUUUCUUCUUUUCAAAUUUCGUUAAUAUAACAUUAUCAAUUACUUUCAAAAUAUUAAAUAUUUUUAAAAUAUAUAUAUAUAUAACUAAUGUGUUUAUCAAGAGCAAAGGUCCCAUAAUCAUAUGAUAUACAUAUAAGUUAUAUGUAGUCAUUAUGUGUUUUAAAAUUGAAAUGCAAUCUUCCAAAAUUCAAAUUUCAUAUGUAAUAUAGUUAUGAUAGUGUUUUGGAAUUAAAGUUGUGCACAAACAAAACAUUAAUGAUCCUUGAAAAGGAUGAAAGAGAAGUAAGGGAUAAUGGAAAAAAAGUUCAAAAAAGUACUUUGGUAUGAGAGAAUAGUCAUCAUUGUGUAUCAUAAAAUUAUAAUUAAUUACUAGUUUUAAUUCUAUAAUUUGACUUUCUAUUUUUUUUACUCCUAUUAAUAUUAACAUUAUUAUGGCAACAACAAAAAAUCAUAUAAAUUUUUAGGCUUGAUCUCUUGGAGAAGAAAAGAUUUCUUUGGAGUAUGUUGUAAAUAAAUGUAUUCUGUAAAAAGUUAUUUGUGAAUCUGCAAUAGUUGUAUUUACAAAUAGUCUGCACUAACAAAUACUUAUAACAAUAACUUUACAGAAACAACAAAGUUUAAAACAUGUACUAAAAAAUAACAAUUAAUAUCAUAAGCCUACAUUAAUAAACGUAAAAAAAUAUCAGGAUCUGUAAUAAUAGAAUGAAAUAGAAAGGAAAAUCGAGCACACUGAAUGCACAGUGUCUCCUUGUCAGUGAGUCACUCAACAGGAGCAAAGUACCCAAAUAUUUAAUUGUGCAGAAGAAGAAGAAGAAGUUCAGAAUCAAAUAUUUAACUGUGCAGAAGAAGAAGAAGAAGUUCAGAAUUUUAAUUAUUUUAAAAUGAGAGGAAACCCCUCUAUUUAUAGACAACAAAUGGUAGUGUGAACAAAUGUUUAUUGUGCCUUACCGGAAAGGUCACAACUCUUUGGAAAAGUCACAAUUUUUCGGAAAGGUCACAGCCUUUCGUAAAUGUUACAACCUUUCAUAAAAGUUGCAACUCUUUAUAAAAGUCACAAGUUUUCAAUAAAAGUCACAACUUUUCAUAAAAGUCACAACUUUUCAUGAAAGGGAAAGACUAAUUUUGGAAAUAAAUAAAUUAAACGGAAAUUUUUAUUUGUGGUGGCGCCACGUAGACGGGCCUAGAGCUCUCUUUUAUAUAUAUACUAGACUAGAUAUGAAAAGGCUCGUUAACGGGACCAACAUUACUGUCUUAAGUUGUAUUUAUACGUAAUUAAUCAUAUUCUUAAAUAAUAAAUUAAUUUUCAAUAUUUUCACGUAAAUAAAUUAAAGAGUAAUAAUGGGCAUUACACUUUGAAGUACUUUUUUUAUUUUUAUAAAAUUAAAAAAUAACUUAUAACUUAUAUAAGUUAUCUCGACUAAUAUUAAAUACGUAAUCUAAUAUUCAUUUUAACAUUAUGUUAGAUAUUAACAUUAAAUUAAAUGACAAAUAUAUGUUGGAUAUAAAAUAUGUCAUCUUCUUUAAUUUUAUGUAUCUCAGCUCAUAUAAAAAAGGGUAAGCCUCAAGUAUGUUCUGAUUUGGUGGAUGUAGAUAUAAUUAACUGAGAUGACAUGUUUAUGUGGUUAACAUAACGAUCUAAUAAGCAUUUGUAAUCACGCACACAUAGUUUUUUCUUUCAAAAUUUGAACAUUAAAUGUGUGAAGUGUUUAGAUGUUCCAUCGGAAUAAGCCGUAGAUUUAGUAUCAAAAUGAAAUUUAUUGACAAAUUUAAUGGACUAUUAAUAUAUAAAGUCAAGUCAUAAAUUUAUUUUAUUAAAUAAUAUUAAAAUUCUAUAUCUAACUCGCACAACUACAAUUUCAUUUAAAUAUUUUUGUUUAUAACAAAAUAACAAAAAUUCGGAUAAAAUUACAUUUAUUUUAUCUAUCUUUAUGAUAAAAAUAUUUUUACUUUUUUGGUAUGAUAAAAAUUUGUUUUAAAUUUUUUGAUCAUGGUGAGAUGAUUCAUAUUUAAAAGUAUUUGUGUCAUUUAUGUCUCUAAUAAAAGAUAUUAUACGUAGUUUCAAAGCAUAAGUUAUGCUUUGUAAGUUUCUGUCUAGAUUCAAUUGAUAAAUCUUUUAAUAAUCUUUUACUUUUUAUGAAUUACAGCUACAUAUAAAUAAUUUUGAAAUUUAAAUUUGUCAUAUAGUAUGUUCAUGAAAUUUAUUAAUAUUUCAAAAAGGAGAUAAUUUGCUUAAAAGAAAUUAAUUCCCCCUUCUUAUUUGAGACAAGAGGAUAGUAGUAUUGAGAAUUAAUUGGUAAUUUAUAAAAAAUUACAUUGUUUGACUUUCCAAAACAAAAUUAUGAUAAGUAUUUAAGAAUAACGGGAGUAAUAAAAAUUCCAUUUUAUUGUUUAAAUUUUUUUUUUUGAACAUUUGAAUUCUGAAAUUACCAAAAAGAUUAUUUAUAUAGUUAAAAACAUUUUUGAAAUUGUACUAUUAAAAAAGCUAACUUGAUUUUAAAUUGUGAGGACUAAAUAUAGGGCAUGUAAAAAAUAUAGUGAAGAUUGAAUAAUAAAUGGGGUGAACAAAAUAUGAAUGGAGUUGAUAAUUGUUAAACAUUUAAAAUUUAUAAUAGAUAGUACAAUUGUAAUGAUGUAAAGAGAAUGGGUCCACAUUGUUACACAUGUUUAAAGGUUAUUGGUGAGGGAUUAAGACAAGGCAAAGUACAUAAUAUAAUUUGUAUUGUUCAUUGUACAACUCUUCAUUGCCAUGAUCGUCCUUCCACGGCUCUUCUAUAUAAUAGAAAUAUAAUUUUCUAAUAUUUUAUACCAAAUAUUUUUUAAUAACUCAAUUGAUUGAUCGGAUUAAUUAUUUUAUAAUCACGUUAUCCAUUUUCUCAUUUCUUUCUCUUGUUUUGAAAAAAAAAAAUGGAGGUGAAGAAGAAAAAAUAGGAUAAAAAACUACAAGAUGAAAAUUGAAUUCUCGCCCUCAAUUUAAAAUAAACAAUCAACUAAUAUCUCUUCUGUGCAAUAAUAUUUGUCCACUAUUGACUUUGCACACUUCUUAAGAAACUAUAAAUAGAAGGAUAAUUUUACUUGUGAACAAGCUGAAUGAUUCAUAUUAUUGUCACUGUGUAUUUAUUUUUUUCACUAUGACUAUAUAUACUUUCUUUUGUAUGUGAAACUUAUUUUAUAUUUGAUUUAUGAUUAUGCUAACUGCUUUGGUUAUUACAUAAGCUUUUAAUUUAUUUUGUUUUGUGUGUGAAAUAUUUUGGGUUCACAUGGAAAUUGAAAAAGGGGUGGUGAUAGUGAGCAGUUUUAUUUUAGUGUAAUUGAAAUUAUUAUUUUCUUAGUGUGCAAUUGAUUCUUUAAUUUAUAACGGUAAUUCACUAGUUUAAUUAUUGUGCACCAAACAUAAUAUAAUAUAUUGUUGUAUGUAACUCUCUGUUUUGACAAGUUUAAGAUAUUAGUACAUACUUUGUUGAGAAUAUUUUUAUUGUGUUUCUUUUGUUCUAUAUUUAUUUGUACAUGUUAAUCACAAAGUGACAAUAUUUUUUAAGGCUCAAUGGUGAAUCCUAUUAAAUUUGGCUUAUUAUGUUAUUGAUUGAGGGUAAGACGAAGGAUUCAAGUCCUAUCGUAUCAAGAGGGUAAUACAUCGGGUGAGAGUCCUGGUGCAUCAUCAUAAUAAAAUGUUGGAUUGGUCCCAACAAAUAAUGACCUAAAAUGCCUUCUUAUGGCUAAGACGUUGGGUUCAAGUCCCAACGUUUUAUUAUGACGAUGUAAUGAUGAGUGAGCAAAUUGAUAUGCUCUUGAUAAAAGUCAUGAAAUUUGUCCAAUUGAUUUGGUUCAUCCUCUUAUGUGAAUGUGUCUGAAAAUGACAAGUGCUUAAAUGUAUGAAUAUGAGUAUGAUAAAAUGUUAAUGAAAAAUUACCUAACUACACAUUUUUUUAACCCUAUUUUCUAUUAUUUCCUAUCAUUUUAAAAAAUUACAAAAAACCUUCUUUUUCCUCAAAUUCUCUCCUAUCCAGAUACAUAACUUUCAGACUUCCAACUUUACUAUUUUUCUCUCUUUUUUCAUGCCUAUAAUCACUCCACUAUAUCAUCAUUUACCUUUAUCACUCCUUUAUUUUGAAUUUUAAAUAUUUUCUCUCUCCGGUUAAUGAUUUAAAGUUAAUCAAGAGAUGGUUACAUUUAUCAUGCAGUGCUAUUUUAUAACUAAAUCAUUGUUUAUCAUAUUCAUAAUUUUUUUUGUAUAUAAUACAUAGCUACGUCAAAUUAAACGGGCAUGAUACAUAAAUAUUAAUUUAUACUACAUGUAUCGAUCUCAAACAAAAUAACUUAUGGCAACAAUUACAUAUUUAAUGUAUCCCGUAACAAUACAAUACUUAUCAAUUUAAACUAGAUACAUAAAUAGUAAUGUAUCAUGCACUAAUUUUUUAGAUAUGAUACGUAAAUUUGAAUUUAUACUAAAUGUAUCAAUUACAUAACAACUACCACACAAUAAUGUAUCAAUCUCAAAUCUAACAUCUUAUGGGCAACAAUUACUUAUUUAAUGUAUUUAGUAUAAAUACAGUACUUAUGAAUUUAAACGAGAUACAUAAAUAGUAAUGUAUCAUGCACUAAUUUUUUAGAUAUGAUAUGUAAAUUCGAAUUCAUACUAAAUGUAUCAAUUUACAUAGCAACUAUCACACAAUAAUGUAUCGAUGUCAAAUCUAACAUAUUAUGGGCAAUAAUUAUUUAUUUAAUGUACUUAAUAUAAAUAUAAUACAUAUCAAUGUUCAAGAAAUGAACAAGCUAACGUAGUUGCUGCCAGUUAUAGACUCAACUUUUUGAUAUGGGAAUGAGGGGUAGUGCCAGACCUAGAACACCUAGGUACUGCCUAUGGUGAUGACAAUUCAUAAAAAAAAAACAAGAUACAUAAAUAGUAAAAUUCUAAGUAACAAAGAUAUUCAUGAUGUAUAUCUCAAAAUUUUUGACGAUCUUCAAUUAAUUAGGAGAAGAAUUUUGAAUCUCAAAAUUUUCGACAAUUUUGAAUCGAAAUUGAAAGGAUCUUCGAUGAAUUGGAAGAAGAAAGAAUCUUGAAUCUCAAAAGUUUUGAUAAUCUUGAAUCAAAAUUAAAGGAUGUUCGAUGAACUUGAAGAUUCAAAAGGAAAUCGUUUGUCCAACAAUAAUUCCAUCACUUUUGUAUCAUUCAUAUUCACCUCGCUUACCCAAAAUUUCGACAAAAGAUUUUGAAUCAAAUCUGAAAGAUUUCUUCGUUGAACGAGAGAGCAAUUUGAAAUUUUGAAUUUCUUCAUUCUGUUAGGAUUUGCCUCUAUAUGAUUGAGAGUAAGAAGAAACAUAAACGUAAUUUAUGAGAUUUAAUUAAUUUUCAGAUCCCUUUUUAGUGCAACAGAAAGAUUUCUUCUUGUAUUAGAAUUAAUGUAUCCGGAUGGUGAAUUAGUGUAUCCGGAUGGUGACUUACGUAUCCGGAAGGUACAAAUUUUAAAGGAUUAUUGUAAUUAGAAAAAGAGUAGGGAUAUGAUGUAAUUUACUUUUUGCACUAUGAGAUUUAUGUAAGUUAUACAAUGUUAAUAGUCAAUUGUGGUAAUUUAAAGGAAGAACAUCAUGUGUUCUUAAGACGGGCCUUCAAAUGUGAAGGUAAUUUUGGGUCAUCAAAGUGGUAUGACAGGUUAUUGGUCACAUUGGGUUGGUGCAACCCAAUUUGAAAGUUUUGUAAAUCCUCCAUCAAAAUAAAGAAAAUACAAAGUGAUAGUACAUUUUGUACUUUUAAAGUGAUGUUGAUGUGGGUCAAAUAAAUUUGAUAAUGUCAAAGUAUAACUAAUAAAAAUUUAUGGAGCAUGUACAAAUGAUUAUGGUCAUUUCUUGAAGAGAAUGUGCCCUGUGUUCGUUUGGAUAAGGACAUGUUCAUGUAUGAUUAAAUAAACGUCACAUCUCACCUCUACGGGAGGUUUGAUGUAUUGAAUUUUUUUUUUUUUGACAUGAAUGGUCAUUUUGGUCAUAUACUUUGAGUACUACACAAAUAUUGUGGUAUGUUUUAUUAUGAACUAUUGGAGGACAAAUGAAAUAAAUACUAAUUCUUUUCUAUAAAAAUUGUGGUCAUGACCAAAAUUAAUAUUAUUGUGUGGGAACACAAAUUUGUCAUUGGUUGUCAAGAAAUAAAUUUUGCUUGUAAUAAUUUUAACUAUGACAAUAAUAAAAAAUUUCUCCUUGAAGGAGAUGGUCACCAUAAGAAUGGUGUUGUGAAAUUUGUGGUAGUACACAAAAUUAAUUGAGAGUUCCGAAAGGGCUAAUUGUUACUAUCCGGAGGAAUGAAAUAGUUUAUCAUAUUGGGGUUGUAGUAAGUCUCAAAAGAAACUUUUUAAGUUUCGGAGAAAUUGAAAGAAAAAAAAUUAUUAUAUUGAGAUUGUAAAUUAUUGAAAUAUUAAAUAUCUUCACUUUACUACAAUCAAAGCGGAUUAUGAAUAUUUGCGUAAAAGGUUACCUGUCUUUUCCUUGUUUGUUGUAUAAAAAUAUAGGCAUGAUGAAGAAAUCACAUGCAAAAGUAAACAAAAAGUUUACUAGAAUACAUAUCAGUUGGCAUAACCGAUUGGCCAUUCCGGUUCAAAUGUGAUGCAAAAUAAAUUGAGAAUUCACGUGGCUAUAUGUUUGAAGAAAUAAAAGAUCUUCCAGAAUUCUCUUGUGUUGCUUGUUCUCAUCAUAAAAUGAUCAAUGUACUAGCUAAGGUUGGGAUUGUAUCCUCCGAAAUUAUUUGAAACAUAUAAAAAGGUGAAUAUGGCCCGUUCACUUGCCAUGUGGACCGCUAACUACUAUGAUUUAAUAGAUGCAUCUAUGGUAUGGUCACAUGUGCAUUUGUAUCAACUUACAAAUUGGAUUUUGUAAGGUUGUUUGCUCGAAUUGUUAAAUUAAGAGUACAAUUUCAAAUUAUAUAAUUAUGUUGAUAAUACUGGUUGGUUUAGCAGAAAUUGUUUGCCUCCAAUUAUAGCUAGACCAUUGAUUAUGAGAAGAAAUCUCUCAAAUAAAAUUUGAUAUGAGAUGAGUUUAUUUAACAUGUAUGCAUCAAGCCAACAAGGUUCUCCCAUCACAAUUGGUUCAGGGUCAGGAACUAAAUAAUUUCCAUCUAAAUAUUUGAUAUGUGCACAUAUGAUUUUAUUGCUCCACCACGCACAAAGAUGGAUACCCAAAUGAGGUUGAGGAUAAAUGUUAGAUUUCCUAACAUUAGGGGGAGAUGUGUUUAGCAGCUGAAAAUUAUGUGUGGUGAAUUAUCUAGAUCAUCGUUAAAAAAAUGUGAACUUGAAGUUUAAGAGAUAAUUCAUUUGCAAAAUGUUGUUUUGCCAGAUAUAUUUACUGACCCAAUAUUAUAAUUAAGUUGCAAAUGUUCCAAUAAAUAGUCCUUGAAAGACAGAGCCUAUGGUACACCGAAAGUGUGAUAGACCAAUCGAUUCCAAACGUAUAACUCCUUGAGGAAGGAGAAGAGCAAAUUACCGAAAUGGUCAUGAUAAUGAGCUAAGUGCUCUGAGAGAGUACUACGACAUAGCACUUCAUAAGACCUUAGCAAAGGUUCAAGUACCUGAAAUGAUGAAAACUGAAGAGAGCUCAAUAAGUUAUGUCGAAUUGGAAUCGAUAUCAAAAUGAUUGUCGACGGUAUAUUUGAUAUGAAGUAGCACUCAAUGCUAUAAAUGGUUACGAGGAUCUUGAAUUCAAAUAUGUCAUAUAAUGUGGACAGAUAAAUGAUUGGCCAAAUUAAAAUGCACUAUUCAAGUAUAUUUUGCUUCACUUAAAAAAUAUUGUUUUUGAACUUAUAGUUCAUGGGUACAAAUGAAUCAUUGUGCGAAAGUAUAACUGUAAGAUAUAAAGUACGGUUUGUACCUCAGGGCAUAAAGGACUUUCGCAAAAGUCCUAACAUUAUUAAAUGGAGAUAUAUUCUCCAGUGGUGGAUGCAAUGAGACUUAUUUCAGUCUGGCAAUAGAUAAAAUACUUGAAUAUGUGUAAUGAAAUAUUAUCAUGUCUAACUAGACGAUGAAGGUUAUAUGAAAAUUCUUAAAGAAUUUAAAAGGUCUUAAAGCAAUUCCAUUGAAUACCCAAUGAUUUUGAGACUGCUUAACACAUAGAAAGAAUCUUUUUGAUCUCAUGAACAUGAUUUAAAAUGUCAUGUAUUAGUGCAAUUGGUGCACUUACAGAUUGUUGGUUAUGCAAAUGCUAGAAGAUUGUUUGAUAAACAUAAUGAAAGUUAUGUGAAAGGAUUGUCAUAUUAUGAUUCAAGUUAUGACAGGAAACUAACGAAGCAAGUGACUUAACACAUAAAAGAUGUGUGAUUUUCUUUGAGAAGAAAAGACGAGAUUCAAUAAAAUUGAAAUGAUUUGUAUGUAGAUGCAGAAUAUUUAUUUGAUCCGCAUAAAGCUCGAUCGCAAAUGGACUAUUUAUUUAUAUAUGGAGGCACAAUAAUAUCUUGGCAUUCAAAGAAUCACAUUAGUAACCACUUCUUCAAAUCAUGCAAAAAUAAUAUUGAUCUAUGAAUUAAGUCGGGAGUGGUUUUGGUUGGAAUCAUGAUCUAUAGAAAAUAUGUGAUUUUCUUUUGAAAAGGAUAUUCCAGUCACCAUAUAUGAAAAUAAUAUACAGUUCAAUUGAAGGGAGGACACAAUCAAAGGAGAUUGAACAAAGCAUAUUUCACCAAGUCUUUUUCACACAUGAUCUUCAACAAAAUGGUGAGAUAGACGUUCAAAGACUUAUUCAAGUGAUAAUCUUGUAAACUUAUUCACUAAGAAUUGCCAACAUCAAAUUUGAGAAGUUGUAAUAUAAGAUUGGAAUGCAUCGUCUCCGAGAUAUCAAGUAAAGUAUUUAUCAAGGGGAGAAAAAUACUUGUUGUACUCUUUUCCUUAACCAUGAUUUUAUCCCAAUUGGAUUUUCCUGGUAAGGUUUUUAACGAGGCAACAUUCAAAGCGUAUUAAAAGAUAUGUGUACUCUUUUUCCUUCAUUAGGAUUUUUUCCCACAUGUUUUUUUUCUAGUAAGGUUUUAACGAGGCAUAUUAUCUAUGGACAUCCACGGGAGAGUGUUAUAAAAUAUUAUAGUGUGUAUGUCCACUACACCAAGAAGUUACUCUCACCCAUUAUCUCCAUUACUUUCUUCCAUUAUGUAGAUAAUCAUAACCUCCAUAACCUCCACCUUUAUGCCUCUAUGUUACACUAUAAAUAGAGGUAUAAGAGUUCAUAUUGUAUAGACUUAGGGUGUACACUUGAAAGAAAGAAAGUUAUCACAUAUUGUUCCUCUUGUUCUAUAUUCUUCUUUGUCUUCCUCUUUAUAUUGUUCUUUUAUUCUUAAGUUUUACAACAAAUUAUAGUUAAAUAAGGUACCUUUGGGUUUUAAUCCAAGGAGACGGGGAGAAUGAUGAUGAUUUUGCACAUUAUUUGUGUUGGUGGAUGAAACGAAAGCUCCUUUCUAGAGUAUUUUGUGAUAAAAAUGUGUCAUUAAGGCUUUUAAAAAGUAAGUUCUAUAAAGUGAUAGUAGAACAAUAUUGUUGUACAUGACAAAGUGUUGGUCAAUGAAGAAUGUCCAUGUUUAGAAGAUGAAGAUGCUUGGAUGGAUGUGUGGGUUAACUAGGUGAUAUGAUUAGGAACAAAUUUAUAAUGGACAAGAUGGGAGUGACCUUUAUGGAGAUAAGAUGAGAGAAGCGAGGAUGAUGUGGUUCGAACAUAUGAAAAUGAGGUGUGAGGAGCCACGGAUGCGUCAGUUAAGAGGUCUGAGAGGUUGGUUGUAGAAGAAAUAGUAGGCAUAGAGGUAGUGCUCGAAAAGAACAAGAGGGGGGGGGGGGGAAAACCCAACUAGUAUAAACAAAACUUGUUAGUUAGAAGAUGUGAGAGGUUGAUUGUAGAAGAAGUCAAAGGGGUAGAGGUAGUACUCGAAAAGAACUAGGAAGAAGGGGACUAGAUAGAACUUGACACAACUUCAACUUACAUAGAAGAGGGCUAGCCCCCUCCUUCAGUGGUGGACCCAGAAAUUUUACCAAGUGGGUUCAACAUAUAAAAAAAAAUGAAGCAGUAUUAAAAUGUUGUGGGUGGGAAUCGUACACGCGAUGCAUCAGUCAAAUUGUAACCACUUUGCCGCUAGGCUGCGUGUUACUAUUGAUUUAAGUGGGGUCAAAUUAAUUAUAUACAAUGUUUUGUUUCAAAAAAAUAGAUUGAAUAUAUAUGUAUAUACAAUGUAUUUUUUCGACGAAGUGUGUUCAUAUGAACCCACUUGCAACAAGGUAGGUCCGCCCCUGCCCUCCUUUCCUCGUUUCAUUAUUGUUUCAUUUGCUUUGUAUCUUGCUAUUUGAUUGUUAUAUUUUUCUUGCAAUCCUACUUCAACAACAUCACUUUUGAGCUGAGGAUCUAUAAAAAUAGCCUCUCUAGUCUCUACCCCUUAACACUCCUAUUAAAUAGAAUUUAAAAAGUUGACUACAAUUUCACAUGAUAUAUAUUUCAGAUUAUUUAUUAAUUUAAACAACACAAAUCAUACAGUGAUUCUUUAUAUCUUCUCUGUAAUGUAACAUUCACAAAACACUUCUCAGAGAAAAUUGACCAAACACUAAAGUCAUAAACUAUUUAUCUAAUCAACAACAUAUUAAGUAUAAUCUCACAAAUGAAGUCCGGAGAAAAUUUAACGUCCACGAACAUUAUCCUUACCUUUGUCAACAAAAGUGUUUCUCAAAUCAUUUAAAAGUGUUUCUCAAAUCAUUUAGCCAAUGAUAAACUGCUAUGUUCACAAAAUACAUUUUCCUGAAACUUCACUUUGACCAAAAAAAUGUUCUUCUAAAAGAUUGGUCAAACAGUUUAUAUAGGAGAGAACAAAGCUUAAUCCUAUUAACUGCUUCGACUAAAAUUUGUUACUAAAGUGAAUACUGUUUCUCUUCUUUUCUAUUUUGUGUGGGAGUUACUAAAGGGUAUCUCUAUAUAAGGGGAGAGUGAGAUUGUUCACGGGAGUGUUUUUUUAUGUCCAACCGUGGUGUCUGAGCUAGCUUGCAUACUUCACAAGGACCAACUAGUGCGGAAUAUCAAUGCAGGAAACUGAGUGGCUCCUUCAUCCAUCACAUAGAGUAGACCUGGUUGCAACUUGCACUUCUUUCCUACGUUGAAAUUGAGAAAGCUUUCAACUUGAAAACGGUUCCACUUUCUUGGACCUCGUAGCAAACCACCAAGCUCAAACCCCAUCCAAAAUCAUCCUCAGAGGUAUCAGACAUGGUAACUGCCCACUUCAAAUAUUCGGGACUUGCUAUAUUUGUCUCUACCCAGCCACCAAUUUUUGUACUUUCAUCAAGUUCUGACUCUAGGGUCAUGGCAAGUGGCCCAUCUAAGAAGCAGUUUUCCACCAAGGACGCUUGAGGAUGCCCUGACUGUUGUAAAAAACUAAAAGGCAACGACAUAGCUGCGAGUCUAGGCUGUUGACGUGACAGAUUGGCCAUUUUGUGUAUGCCCAAGAUUGAUAGUUUUGUAUUGCUUGAAAGAUGGCAAACAACUUGACCAAAAGUGCCAAAACAAUACAAAACACUAUCAGAGUGUGGCGGCAAUGCAGAGACAAACUGAGCCAAGCAGGCUACAAUAUUUGAUUUUUUAACCAUCACAGCGAUUCCACUACCAUUUAGUUGAUUCAGCAGGGGUGGCCCAAAAGAUGAAUAGUCAGUCAGCCCCCUUUCCUGCAAAAAUUCCCCAAAAAAAAUGUUAUUCUAGGCUACACAUUAAGGCAACUAAAAAUGAUGUAAUAUAACAAGUAGAUACAAUAUGCAACAUCUGCAACAACCAACUAAUGACUCCCCAUGGGAUCUUCCUUGUCAGAUUACUUACCUUGCUUUUACAUGAAGCUACAUAGACAACUGAAAGAUGUAAUAUAACAAGUAAAUACACUAUGCAACAAGCCAACAACCAUGUAAUGACCUCCCUCCCCCCACAGAAUCUUCCUUGUCAACCUGUUGAUUUCUUUUUUUUGAUAAAGUUAAAGUUGUAUUCUUCAACAUUAAGGGUAUGCUGGCUACCUCCAAAAAGUUACAAGCUAAAUACAUAAUUACAUAGACCCUAGGAAAUCUACCAACUGUUCUACUUCUUCUAUACCAUCUUCUUUACUACCUAAAAAAACAAUGUUAAUGUCAAUUUUCUUUAACUUUCUGAAUAGUGUUGGUAAUAUUCUCAUGACACCUAAGGUUUCUUUCUCUCCAAAUAGCCCACCAGACACAAGUAGGUACCAUAGACCACCAUCUUUUUUGGGUCUUGCUCCCCACUCUCCUCAUCCAGCAGCUCAAAAGGUCAGUAGUAUGUUCUGGCAUCGCCCAGGGCUCUUGAGAAAUGCUGAGAACCAUGUGCCUAUUUUCUUGAGUUUUUCCUGAGUGAGACAUGCCCUUCUGGUGACCAACCAGGCGAAGCAUUUCACCUUGGUUGGGGUGUUGCCAUUCCAUAUUUGUUUCCAUGGACCAAGCAUUUCACCUGUUGAUUUCUUGUCAUUACUCAAUCCUAAUAAGUGCGAGAACUUUUGCACCACAGAUCAGCAACUCGAUAUUUUCUUUUGGUUUUGGUGAGUACAUCUGCAACUUCAUUUUACAGGAAUUUUGACCUAACCUUUUUUUGGGAGGCUGGUAACAAAACUUUUGACCUUAUUACUUUUGCAACUUCUUGCUGAUACUGACAAUACCAAAAAGAAUCGGACAAGGAAUUGAUAACUAUGAUCACAAAUCAGAAAGCACAUUCAGUAUUCAGAAGCAUUUACCUCACGUGAACUUGUAGGUACUGCAACAUCUCUGCAUCAACCACCGACUGGAAUGGCAACUGCAGAACACCAAUCACUGAUAUUGCUGCAUAAAGAACUUUUGCUAAGGAAAGUGGACUACCCAGGAUAUUCAUUUGGCCUCUUUCGCUGCCAACAAACUCUGCUACAAGUGUAUCCUUUUCACGGAUAGUUGUUUCAAAGUCAGCCUAGAAUCAAUACCAGUCCUAAUUGCUCUUUCAAUUGCAUUGCACUUGGAUUCAUCAAUGGUACCGAUCAUCAACAGUGCACCCACAGCAUCAAAUUCUCCCCUUACGUGAGUGCUAGUUUCUUGGAAUGGACUUCCUUUAGAAGAUUUAUAGAAUGCAAGCGCUCGCUCCAACUUCUCUUGUCUGUCUCUUAGCUUCAUAAUAUCUGAAAAAGAUUCUCGCUGCAAUCUCUUCAAGAUCUCAAUCUGGAAAUGAUAUAAUUGGAAGAGUUGUAAAGCACCAUCAUACAGGCUGUUGCUACAUAAGAAUUAGCAAAUAUGUCAAACUAAAGCUUGCCGAGGGGAGUGGAGUUGGGAAACAGUGAUAUCCUACAGCUAAUGAGAGUAACAAAUCCCAACCGAACUAUGUCAAAAUAAAUCUGGAUAAGUAUCUUUUUUUUUCUUUCGAUAAGCAAAAGGAUCGUUAAAAGAGAUUUUUCUCUUACAUAUGGAUAACUCUUUAGUCAAUAUUAUUUCCUGGGAAGCCACAUAUCAUACAGGCAUCGUCAUACAGCAGACAGUAAACAUAAAAGACUUAAGGGUACACAGACAGAGCCUUCUCAUACUUAAGAGACCCAUCAGAGUAAAGCAGUGCCCAAUAACAAAGCUUGUGGUAACUGGUAAAGUAAGAAUUUGACUGCUCAAGCUCUGAGUACUUCCUAAUGACACUGUUCCGCAGUUGAACGUUGCAUGACAGGUAACCGAUAUACCCACUUUAGAUCAAUAGUACAAAAGUAGGUAUGUGUACAAUCUCACCUUCCCCUGACCUUCUAAAAAGAGCCAAAACUACCAUUCUCACAUAAGAAAUAACAUUUUCAUAACUUUAACUGCUCUCCCUUUAGAUAUUCAUUUGCUUCAAAUAAGAUUCACAUGAAGGAGUAGCUAUUAUCUUGAAGAAAUGUUCAAUAUCAUACUUGCUUGGAUCCCUCACUCUGUAUAACUCUUACUGCACAUUCUUUUAGGAUCCUAAGUUGGGAAAAUUUGAAUAUAAUAUAUAUUGAUCCAAUGGUGUUCUCCUUUUUUCCCAAAACAUCUAUCAAACCUGUCCCAAUAGGGUGGCCUUGAAGUCAAAGAGCAACAAUUUUCUUUUAUGACUGUGAACUUCAGAAGGAGCCAGCCCUUUGGGCCAACACCAUAGCCUUCACAACUUGGGGAUGAUGGAUUUUCCCCUAUAGUCUCUAUCCUUCUCAACUUAAUUACAGGACUUAGUAGUUAGUUCACAUGGCACAGGGAUCGAAUCUGUGACCUAAGAACAAGUCCCUCAACCUUCCUCUUUUUAACAAUCUAGGGAAUCAAGGUUCCAAUCCUAAUCAUAACAUAUGCAAAACUAAGUAAAUUCUUUCCAUCAACCUAAAUGUUUGGGGACAAAGCUAAUCAAUACCGUUGUUAGUCAAGGAACCUCUAAAUACCAUUGUUAAAAGAAAAAAAAAAAAAGAACAUCGAGAUGUAAC